rnacentral:rRNA from 1 species
GAUUUCUGGUGAAUCGAACUUGGCCGGCCACGGUUUCGUGUGUUAGUGCUUUGUUUUUUCGCCAUCCUUCCAAUGGCUAUUCAUCCUUCUUCAUUGAGGUGGUGAGUGGUAUUGGAUCUUUUACUUUGAAAAAAUUAGAGUGUUUCAAGCAGGCUUUAUGCUAUGAAUACAUUAGCAUGGAAUAAUAAUUUAGGACUUCGGUUCUAUUUUGUUGGUUUCUAGGACUGAAGUAAUGAUUGAUAGGGAUAGUUGGGGGUGCUAGUAUUCAGCGGCCAGAGGUGAAAUUCUCGGAUUCGCUGAAGACUAACUUAUGCGAAAGCAUU